CUGGUUGAUCCUGCCAGUAGUCAUAUGCUUGUCUCAAAGAUUAAGCCAUGCAUGUUUAAGUAUAAACCGCUUGUGCCGCAAGGUGCAAAACGGGUGAAACUGCGAAUGGCUCAUUAAAUCAGCAAUCGUUUAUUUGAUUGUGCGCUAUUGUGGUGUUUGGUUUGGGGGUUCGCCUCUGGAUCAAAGUCCACAAAUGGCUACAUGGAUAACCGUGGUAAUUCAAGAGCUAAUACAUGAAGGAAAAACAAGGCUGACUUUUCGCAAGAGAGGAACGCCCGCAUUUAUUAUAUACAUACAAAAACCGGAACUCAUGGGGCAACCUGUGGGCCAAAGAGUUGGCGAUUCAUAAUGACUGCGCGAAUCGAAUGGUCCUCUUUCUCUGGUGGGAAGGAAUGGCGAGCGAUCAUUCAUUGUGCUAACCCGCCCCAUUUGUUUUUCGAUGGAUGGGAGGCCGGCCCAGGAUUAGCGACGGGUCAUGCUAAGCGGCUAAUUUGGGGUUCCCUGACCGGAGAAGGCAACCCCGCAAAAAACCGCCCCCCCUUUCCGGGGAAGGCACUGGGCGGGUAGGUGGCCCAAUCGGGCCUUCGGGAGGCUCUCCCAUUUAGCAACCUGGGGGCAAAUCUGGAUAAACAGGGAACGGGAUUGGAUAAACCCUAGGAAAAACCCAUGUGCCUCCGGCCAGUGGAGGGCAAUCUCGGAAAGGCUCCCGGGGCACGAAGCAAUUUGGACUGGGGGGAAUUUUUACUCCCGGGAAAGUAACCCCCGGCAGGA
rnacentral:rRNA from 1 species